UUCAUAUAAAUCAGAGGCAAUGCUGUUUGUUGCUUGAUGUUUUGAGCUUUGCUUAUGAUUCAGUGGCAGAGGAGAUGAAACAGAAUCUUCGAUUUGAAGAGAAGCAUACUAGAUGGAAGGUUUUGGAUCAGCCUUUGAGAGACCUAAACAGGGUAUUCAAAGAAGCAGAAUGGUAUAUUAGGCAAUGUUUGGAAACAAAAGAUUGGUGGGCAAAAGUGAUUAUGCUAUAUCAGAAUACUGAUUGUAUUGAAUUUCACAUUCAUAAUCUGUUGUACAGCAUUACAGUUGUCGUUGAAGCCAUUGAAAUGGCUGGGGAGAGUUCUGGUAGUGAUCAUGAUGAGUUGCUGAAGAAGAAACUAAUCAACUCCAUCAAAUACAGGAGAGAACACAAGGAUUUGAAGAUUUUCAAGUGGAAAUUUGGGAAACAAUACCUUGUUACUCAAGAUUUCUGUAAUCGGAUUGAGGCGGUUUGGAAUGAGGAUAGAUGGUUUCUGCUCAAUAAGAUCCGGGAAAAGAAAUUAAUGGCUUCGUCCAAGUACGAACAACGAUUAACAGAUCAUCUUCUGAAAAACAUUAAUGGGUCAGAAUCUUUUAAUGGAAAGCUAUUGCCAAGUUUAAUGCUAGUGGGAUCAAAGGAUUACCAGGUAAGGAGAAGAUUAGGGGUUGGGAGUCAAUAUAAAGAGAUUCUCUGGUUAGGGGAAAGUUUUGCUAUGAGACAUUUUUUUGGGGAAAUUGAAUCCUUAAUUCCAGAGAUAUCAAUGCUGUUAUCUCUUUCUCAUCCAAACAU
rnacentral:lncRNA from 1 species